CAGUUUUGCUUCUCUUUGUUGUGAAAAUGGAAACGGCUUCGAAUCAAAUUUGAUGAUGUUCUACAUCAGUUUAAACUAAUAAAAUUAUAUAAUGUUGUCCUAUUUUGGUUUAUUAUUGCGUCAAUGCAAUCUAUAUGCUUGGAAGGACUAGGCGGUGGGAACAAGUUUGAUCCAAUAUUGCAAGAAAGAACUUUCAUAAAACAUAUUUUUGGUGGCUGUCUUUGAUCAAAGGUGUUUACUGCUCAUUUUUUUUUCUUUGAGUAUCUGUCUUAAAGGUUCCUUAUGAAAUAUCUCUAUUGUGUUGCUUGUUUUUUAUUUUCUGACCAACAAUGACCAUGAUUAAUUCAAUAUCAAUGUACUAGGUCAAGUGGAUCUCACAUUUUGCGUUGAGUCAUAGGAAUAUGCCUUGACACAAUUUACAACUGCUCAGAUUUGGGUGGAGAACGUGUAUAGAUGUGGAAGAUGUGCUGCAUAUGUUUGAGCUAGGAAGCAGUUGGGCAUACAUGAGGCUCCAAAUAUCUUCACUAUAGUCUUGAAGAGAUUUCAGGUGGCCUUCCUAACUUUAUAAGCUUCUCAACUGGUCCAAUAUCCAUUGAUGAAUCGGGAUAGCAAAAGGUAACGAUUCACAGCCUUUGUUUUUGACUUGUUCACCAUUGCUCUAUGAUCUGGGGCUUUGUAAUUCCCAUUGCUCAUAAUUUGCUUGAUCGAAGUAAAUGCUAUGAAUUUGUUAACUAUGUUUAGCUUGCAUUUAAACCUUUUCUACUGCAAUUAAUUUAAUAGUCUGUUAUCUUUAAAUAAUUUGGGUGUGGUU